GACGUAGGGGGCCAGCGUUGCUCGGAAUUACUGGGUGUAAAGGGUUCGUAGGCGGUGUGGCAAGUCGGGAGUGAAAUCUCUGGGCUCAACCCAGAGACUGCUUCCGGAACUGCUGUGCUUGAGUGUGGGAGAGGCGCGUGGAAUUGCAGGUGUAGCGGUGAAAUGCGUAGAUAUCUGCAGGAACACCCGAGGCGAAAGCGGCUCGCUGGAUCGCAACUGACGCUGAGGGACGAAAGCUAGGGGAGCAAACAGG
rnacentral:rRNA from 1 species